GUUUUAAUAGUUUAACCCAAAACAUUGGUCUUGUAAACCAAAAUUAAAGUCACAUUUUUAAAACU
rnacentral:tRNA from 1 species